rnacentral:rRNA from 1 species
GAGGAAUAUUGGUCAAUGGGCGAGAGCCUGAACCAGCCAAGUAGCGUGCGGGAUGAAGGCCCUUGUGGUCGUAAACCGCUUUUAUCAGUGAAUAAAGUGCAUCACGUGUGGUGUCAUUGCAGGUAGCUGAAGAAAAAGGACCGGCUAAUUCCGUGCCAGCAGCCGCGGUAAUACGGAAGGUCCGGGCGUUAUCCGGAAUUAUUGGGUUUAAAGGGAGCGCAGGCGGGAGUGUAAGUCAGCUGUUAAAUAUCAGGGCCCAACUCUGUUAUGCAGUUGAAACUAUAUUUCUUGAGUACGCACAGGGAUGGCGGAAUUCAGGGUGUAGCGGUGAAAUGCUUAGAUAUCCUGAAGAACUCCGAUCGCGAAGGCAGCCAUCCGGAGCGUAACUGACGCUGAGGCUCGAAGGUGCGGGUAUCAAACAGGAUUAGAUACCCUGGUAGUCCGCACGGUAAACGAUGAAUACUCGCAGUUCGGUUAUUAUGGUCGAGCUGUCCAGCGAAAGCGUUAAGUAUUCCACCUGGGGAGUACGCCGGCAACGGUG